rnacentral:lncRNA from 10 species
AAAAUGUUCGUAUCCACUUGCAGCAGCCUCUUGGUGCAUUUCGGGAAACGAGAAGGAGCCAUGAUGAAAGAUGGCUUUGACCCAUUUGAAGACUUUCAGCCAGAAAAUGUGCUUUGUACUAGGAGCUGGAGGAACGGCAUUGCCACCACACCAUACCCCUUCUUGAUGGAAUAGCCACAGCCAGAAACCUCCCUCUGUCCCUUCCCACAUGCCUACAUCAUACUUAGGUGCUGGCGAUUCAUGGACUGACCUGCAUUAUCCUCUGCAGCGUGGAUGACAAGAGAGAGGCUGAGUCGAGUGAGUCCCUGACAGACUGGAGGCCGAGCCUAUUGAAAUCCCUUUUGGAACCAGACCUGCAGCUUGAAUCCUAGAUGGAGAGAUACUAGUCAUGAGUAUAAGAAAAUGACUAAGAAUAAAAGAUAAUGGACUUAGGAUGCGAAAAAAACAGUGUGGAAAAUCGGAGCUAAAGGGACUGGGUGGAUGUGAUGUCACCAUGCCUGGGAAUAAGGGUCAGCUUCAGGAAGCAGGCAAAUUGAACAGGGCCUUGAGAGGAGCAUAAGACUGACCAACCACAGCUUCCAGGCCUCCUAAGAGCCCGUAUUAUUUGGUAGGUCUUCAGUUUUCCUCCAGCGGCAAAGGGACUAGAGACUGUAUCACCUCUCAGGUGUGGUGCUGUGUGAUGGACGCUUGGACGAGAAAGGGAAGGCAGGAGGCUUCUGAGACAGAGUCGACCAUUUUUGGUGAUUGAUGAGAACCCAGAGAAGUCAAAGAAGUAAGAGUCCCAGGCCAGAUUCCUUCCUUUCCUAAGUGCUACAUUCAUAAGAAAUAAGGCCGGGUAUGGUGGCUCACACCUGUAAUCCCAGCACAUUGGAAGGCCAAGACAGGUGGAUCACGGGAGUCAGGAGUUCAAGACCAACCUGACCAACAUGGCGAAACCCCGUCUCUACUAACAACACAAAAAUUAGGCAGAUGCCUGUAAUCCCAGCUACUCGGGAGACUGAGGCAGGAGAAUUGCUUGAACUCAGAAGGUGGAGGUUGCAGUGAGCUGAGAUCCUGUCACUGCACUCCAG